UGUAGUCCGUGCGAGCCCCUGGACCGCCGGGCUGCGAGCGCCCCGGGGCCGCGUGCGCCCCUGGCUCCCGGCCGCACGGACUCUUCUUCCCUGAGCAGUAGGUCGGCUCGACGCGGCUCUCCUUCCCUGCGGUGGUUUCUCCCUCCCCGGCCGGUGCUUGAUCUCUCCCUCCCUGUACCUAGCGGGCGAGGCGGCGGCGGCGGCGGCCGCAUAGCAAGCUUCGUGUAGAGAGCCCGCGGGAAUAAAUCCCUCUGCCUCCAGAGCACGCGAGCCGAAUUCGCGGCUUCCCUUCGCAGAUCCGAGUCUUCCAGUGCAACCGAGAUCCAUGGACCCGUCCAAGGAUUUGGCCGGCAACGGCUACGGCAGCGUCGCUUGGGCGACCGGAUGGAGCGCUGGAAGAAGAACCAGGAGCGCCUGCAGCACGCCCGGAGCGUGGGCGGUGGUGAUUGGGAAAGUGACGAUGCAGAUCUGCUGCUAAGUUGAUCUGAGCAUUAUAAAGUUGUAUAGUUGUUACCCACUGAUUGUAUACCAAGAAGGCAUAAUUGUUAGGUUAAAGAGACAAGCAGGUGUUACAGCAACAGGGAGUAGCACUAGCAUGGAAGCUAAUAUGCAUUUGUAUUAACCAGCUCAAGUGGAUUUAGAUUGAUUCAAUUGCUACAUGUAUGUUGCUGGAAAUCUUAUGUUGUAUGCAUGUAUAUUUGUGCUGGAAUUGCUUAUUGUAAUUUCUGGCUGGAACUUUUAUUUUGAUAAGUGAGUUGUGAAAACCGGUUAUAUGGGUUGUGUAUAAAGUUAAAUCUGAUUAGUUGCUA